UACAGAGGGUGCGAGCGUUAAUCGGAAUUACUGGGCGUAAAGCGCACGUAGGUGGCGACGUAAGUCGGGUGUGAAAGCCCCGGGCUCAACCUGGGAAUUGCAUUCGAGACUGCAUUGCUGGAGUACGGAAGAGGAAGGCGGAAUUCCCGGUGUAGCGGUGAAAUUCGUAGAUAUUCGGAAGAACACCAGUGGCGAAGGCGGCUCACUGGUCCGGUACUGACGCUGAGGUGCGAAAGCGUGGGGAGCAAACAGG
rnacentral:rRNA from 1 species